CAGCCGCCGCGGGAAUACGAAGGGGGCUAGCGUUGUUCGGAAUCACUGGGCGUAAAGGGUGCGUAGGCGGAUUCUUAAGUCAGGGGUGAAAUCCCGAGGCUCAACCUCGGAACUGCCUUUGAUACUGGGGAUCUUGAGUCCGGAAGAGGUGAGUGGAACUGCGAGUGUAGAGGUGAAAUUCGUAGAUAUUCGCAAGAACACCGGUGGCGAAGGCGGCUCACUGGUCCGGAACUGACGCUGAGGCACGACAGCGUGGGGAGCAAACAGGAUUAGAUACCCCUGUAGUCCCUGUCUCUUAUAA
rnacentral:rRNA from 1 species